rnacentral:misc_RNA from 1 species
AAAGUGCGAUAAGUAGUGUGAAUUGCAGAAUUCCGUGGAUCAUCGAAUUUUUGAACGCAAAUUGCACUCUCUGGUAUUCCGGAGAGUAUGCCUGUUUGAGGGUCAGUAAAAUAAAAAAUCGAUUUGUUACCCUAUCGUGACAUUUCGGAAUUGAGUUCUCUUAAAUUUUUAGGUUUAAGAGGCUUAAAAUUGAUUACUUUUUGGUAUGAUUUAAGCGUGCUAAGAUUACGUUUAAUGAGUAUCGAUGUUUAUUAGGCAUGAUCAUGAUCAUGGUUUCGUGCCCAUAAUUUUUUCAUGAAAUGACCUCAAAUCAGGUAGGAUUACCCGCUGAACUUAA